GAAUGAAUGAAGCAAGGUAAUGAGCAUAGAAGUUAAAUCGAAUCUGCAGACCAGUUUUCUCUAAUGCCUUCCAACUUUGUUUGAGGGUAUGGUUCCUCCUUACGGUG